AUUAGUUUUUUCAUCCCCCAUCACCUGGGUAAAUAUGUUUUAUUAUAUGCUUAAAAUAUACCCACUCUGACAAUGAAGACUAAAAAGCUUCCAAUUCAAGCAUUGUCUAGCACAAAUCUAAUACACAUAAAGAACCAUUUUGUCUCAUAAACCGAUACAAGAAAAAUGUUGACCAAUAUAAGCAAUCUUUGACCCCAAAUUUUUUAAUUUGUUUUAUAAAGACUAUACAGGAUGUUGAGGUGGACCUGGUGUCAACAGAGUAGAAUGGCGAAAAAUAAUUCAUAUAACUGAUCCCAAUUAGUUUGGAAUUAAGGCUUUAGUUGUUGGUGUUUAUAAAGACUAUACUCUUACAUUGGUACUCCAUUUGUUACAAUUAUAGUACAAAGACAUGCAUACAGAUGAAAGGCAUCAAGGACAAGUCACUUGAAACCAUUAGAAACACCAUGCGGUAGACAAAUCACUAGAAGACGUGAAAAUUUUAAAAAUGAAAAAGAUGAACCGGAAUAUAAG
rnacentral:misc_RNA from 1 species